UUCCGGUUGAUCCUGCCGGAGGUCACUGCUAUUGGGAUUCGACUAAGCCAUGCGAGUCGAGAGGGUUCGGCCCUCGGCUGACGGCUCAGUAACACGUGGAUAAUCUGCCCUUAGGUGGAGGAUAAUCUCGGGAAACUGAGGAUAAUACUCCAUAGAUCUAGGAUGCUGGAAUGCAUCUAGAUUGAAAGCUCCGGCGCCUAAGGAUGAGUCUGCGGACUAUCAGGUUGUAGUCAGGGUAAAGACCUGACUAGCCUACGACGGAUACGGGUUGUGAGAGCAAUAACCUGGAGACGAUAUCUGAGACACGAUAUCGGGCCCUACGGGGCGCAGCAGGCGCGAAAACUUCACACUGUGCGAAAGCGCGAUGAGGGAAUCCCAAGUGUUUGCUCGUAAGAGUAAACUGUUUCUUUGUUUAAAACGCAGAGAGAGUAAGGGCUGGGUAAGACGGGUGCCAGCCGCCGCGGUAAUACCUGCAGCUCAAGUGGUGAUCAUUAUUAUUGGGCCUAAAACGUCCGUAGCCGGUUUAGUAAAUGCCUGGGUAAAUCGUGUAGCUUAACUAUACGACUUCCGGGUAGACUGCUAGACUUGAGACCGGGAGAGGCUAGAGGUACUCCUGGGGUAGAGGUGAAAUUCUGUAAUCCUAGGGGGACCACCAGUGGCGAAGGCGUCUAGCUAGAACGGGUCUGACGGUGAGGGACGAAGCCCUGGGGCACAAACCGGAUUAGAUACCCGGGUAGUCCAGGGUGUAAACGCUGCUUGCUUGAUGUUAGUUGGGCUCCGAGCCCAACUAGUGUCGGAGAGAAGUUGUUAAGCAAGCUGCCUGGGAAGUACGGUCGCAAGGCUGAAACUUAAAGGAAUUGGCGGGGGAGCACAGCAACGGGUGGAGCGUGCGGUUUAAUUGGAUUCAACGCCGGG
rnacentral:rRNA from 1 species